GCCAGCAGCCAUAUCACCCUGCAACUCACAACUAGCAACCCACUGAAGCUAAGCAGGUGUGAGCCUGGUCAGUACCUGGACGGGAAACCUCCUGGGAAAAACUAAGGUUGCAGCUGGAA
ensembl:rRNA 5S_rRNA 5S ribosomal RNA